GAGGGAAUGCAGGGGUUUAAAAUGCUGACAAAGAGCAACAGCUUGAACCACAUGGUGUUGAUCUGAGCAGAGCUGCUAUGGCUCGGGUACCCUGUUUUUAAAAACCGCCCUUCAGACACAUCAUAUUCUACCCCCAAGCCCGCUUUUGUAAUACUGACUCCCAGAUUCCAGUCUCUUCUGGUGCCAGAUAAAGCGUUUGGUGCCAACAAGCCAGAUAAACCUUUAUUUCAAAUCACAGUGGCUGAGUGGCAGAAGCAGAGUCAGAUGAAAUGCACACUUCUGCUUAGCAGCGCAAAUGCCUGGUACAGAGAAGUGUUGAGUACUAGGCUCUAGGUAGCAGUUUUAUUUUGUUUCAAGCGUUCUGUCUGCCUACACGCUGCAUGCCGCUUCUUUCAUGACCUGAUAUAAGGACAGAGAUCUACAGGAAAUAACACUCUGGGAACCACUCUGGACAGAUGCUGCUGCCCUCGACAAGUGAAAGGAGAAAUCAGCCUUCAUGGCCUAUUCAGUCAUUGUCUUUCUGUGAAGGGUACUAAAGAAGGAUCCUAUGGGAGCUGGGGAAAUAUCUGUGAUGUGGACACUGUGCUGUAUUAGCCACUGGUUUUCCUACGCAGGAAGACUGUUGCUGAGCACUGUCUAUGAGAUACAGCAUCCUCUUACCUCUCAUUGGCUCCAGCCACCACCUGCGGUCCCAAACAACACAAAGGCCUCAUUGUGCAGGGUGCUGUCCAUAAACAAUGAGAGAUUGUCUCUGCCCAGAAGAGAUCACAAUCUAAGUACGAAAUAGAAAGCAAAGAAAGAUGCUGUGACUCAUGCUACGUCACUGCUAGGAAUAAAUUCUAGUUUACCUGACUGCAAAGCCAGUGUUUUGUCCAUUAGGCCACACAAUCUUCCCAGCUUAUGCCCAAUUUACUCAUAAAGGCGCUGAAGGACUGAAAUGGUUCCAUCUG